rnacentral:rRNA from 1 species
GAUUCCCCUAGUAACUGCGAGUGAAGCGGGAAAAGCUCAAAUUUGAAAUCUGGCGGCUCCGUCGCCCGAGUUGUAUUCUGGAGAAGCGUUUUCCGUGCCGGACCGUGUACAAGUCCCUUGGAACAGGGCGUCGUAGAGGGUGAGAAUCCCGUCUUUGACACGGACUCCCGGUGCUAUGUGAUGCGCUCUCGAAGAGUCGAGUUGUUUGGGAAUGCAGCUCAAAACGGGUGGUAAAUUCCAUCUAAAGCUAAAUAUUGGCGAGAGACCGAUAGCGAACAAGUACCGUGAGGGAAAGAUGAAAAGCACUUUGGAAAGAGAGUAAAACAGUACGUGAAAUUGUUGAAAGGGAAACGCUUGAAGUCAGUCGCGUCUGCCGGAACUCAGCCUUGCUUCUGCUCGGUGCACUUUCCGGUUCGACGGGCCAGCAUCGGUUUCGGGCGGCGGACACUGGCGUGGGGAAGGUGGCAGCUCCGGCUGUGUUAUAGCCCCGCGUCGCAAACGCCGUCUGGGACCGAGGAAUCCGGCGCGAGCCUGGGAUGCUGGCGUAAUGGCUUUAAACGACCCGUCUUGAAACACGGACCAAGGAGUGCUACACGCUCGCGAGUGUUUGGGUGGAAAACCCGAACGCGCAAUGAAAGUGAAAGUCGAUACCCCUCGCGGGGGCACCGACGCCCGAGCCUGAUGUUUUCGGAAGGCCUUGCGGUAGAGCGAGUGCGUUGCGACCCGAAAGAUGGUGAACUAUUCCUGAGGAGGGCGAAGCCAGAGGAAACUCUGGUGGAGGCUCGUAGCGGUUCUGACGUGCAAAUCGAUCGCAGGACUUGGGUAUAGGGGCGAAAGACUAAUCGAACCAUCUAGUAGCUGGUUCCUGCC